rnacentral:rRNA from 1 species
UACGAAGGGGGCUAGCGUUGCUCGGAAUGACUGGGCGUAAAGGGCGCGUAGGCGGUUCGUACAGUCAGACGUGAAAUUCCCGGGCUCAACCUGGGGACUGCGUUUGAUACGUGCGGGCUUGAGUUCGGAAGAGGGUCGUGGAAUUCCCAGUGUAGAGGUGAAAUUCGUAGAUAUUGGGAAGAACACCGGUGGCGAAGGCGG